rnacentral:lncRNA from 1 species
UGAAUAUGCAACAUACACUUUUUUCUUCAAAGUUUUUUAAAAAGUUUUGAAAUCCUAAAUCCACCACUGUCUUUCACUAAUUGUUUAAUGAGAAAUGCAGUCACGUUUAACUUCUAUUACACAUAGUUGUAACAAUGAAUCUGAGGGGCUACGUUUAAUAGAAAAUAUAUAAUAAAUUAUAUUAAUUUUAUUACAUGACUGCUCAGCGUCUGCGCAUGCGCACAAGAAACCGUUUGGCGGGUAAAUCGGAUCGUUAGACAGUAGUCGAAGAGGUGAACCGCUCUAAAACGGGAGGCAAUAAACCGGUUCAGUUUUCUGUAAAACGGAUUCAUGGAGUUGAGUGCUGUUGUGGAGCAGGAAGAGGUGGUUUUAACAGAGCCAGAGAGUGAAGAAGCGGACGAAACAUUUUAUAUGAACAGAUUGUUAAUGGUGGGCACAGAGGGAACCCUUCCAGACUCUCCUCACAUUAACCCUGGAUCCUCUUAUGAUAAUGUAAUUUCUCCACAGAUUGAGGUUUUGCCCAAGAGAUGCCAGAAGAGACUUCUUGAGAACCAACUGGUAAAUGAAUGUAGAACAAAGGGAACCAACAGACAGUCUAGUUUGGCAAGAUGGAAAAAGUGCUAA